CUCAUUGGGGCUCGAGCAGGAAGGAUGCGCUGCAGGCUUUAGCAGAGACAAGGAAAGUGUAAGUUUACAGUUCUGACGGAAGAUAAAUGACAGCUCACAUUGCAGCCUGGACAUCUUACAUUUGGAAUUUGUAGGAAGGUGUGGACAGCAGCCUGCCAGCGUGGAGCAGGACCAGAGAGAAGACAACCAGUGCUACCUAAGACAGAUAGUCCCAGCUGAUCUGUCCCAUCAGAGACCCCGAGAACAUCACACAGGUAUGGACACUUCUCUUUCAAACAUCCAAAUGUUAUAUGUCAGUCAAAUGAAUACAUUGGGGAAGUACUGGUUUGGAGAACUUCUCACUGACUAAUAGGUUUUGGUUCAGGUCUUGUUGGUAUGUUACAGUUGCCUGGCUGUCAAUGCACACAUGCACGAGAGAAAAGUGUCCCAGCUCAUCUGUUACAUUGGUGUGGUUCAAAGACAUUUUCUCCUAUCAUGAAUAAUUGGGAAAC